rnacentral:rRNA from 1 species
UUAAUUGAAGAGUUUGAUCAUGGCUCAGAUUGAACGCUGGCGGCAGGCCUAACACAUGCAAGUCGAGCGGUAACAGGGGAAGCUUGCUUCUCGCUGACGAGCGGCGGACGGGUGAGUAAUGUAUGGGGAUCUGCCCGAUAGAGGGGGAUAACUACUGGAAACGGUAGCUAAUACCGCAUAAUCUCUUAGGAGCAAAGCAGGGGAACUUCGGUCCUUGCGCUAUCGGAUGAACCCAUAUGGGAUUAGCUAGUUGGUGAGGUAAUGGCUCACCAAGGCGACGAUCCCUAGCUGGUCUGAGAGGAUGAUCAGCCACACUGGGACUGAGACACGG